UCGCCCUUAGUUGCCAGCAUUCAGUUGGGCACUCUAAGGGGACUGCCGGUGAUAAGCCGAGAGGAAGGUGGGGAUGACGUCAAGUCCUCAUGGCCCUUACGGGCUGGGCUACACACGUGCUACAAUGGUGGUGACAGUGGGCAGCGAGACAGCGAUGUCGAGCUAAUCUCCAAAAGCCAUCUCAGUUCGGAUUGCACUCUGCAACUCGAGUGCAUGAAGUUGGAAUCGCUAGUAAUCGCGGAUCAGCAUGCCGCGGUGAAUACGUUCCCGGGCCUU
rnacentral:rRNA from 1 species